UACGGAGGGGGCUAGCGUUGUUCGGAAUUACUGGGCGUAAAGCGCGCGUAGGCGGACCUGCAAGUCGGGGGUGAAAGCCCGAGGCUCAACCUCGGAACUGCCUUCGAUACUGCGGGUCUCGAGUCCGGGAGAGGUGAGUGGAAUUCCUAGUGUAGAGGUGAAAUUCGUAGAUAUUCGGAAGAACACCAGUGGCGAAGGCGACUUACUGGAUCAUGACUGACGCUGAGGCUCGAAAGCGUGGGGAGCAAACAGG
rnacentral:rRNA from 1 species